rnacentral:rRNA from 1 species
GGAAUCGCUAGUAAUCGUGGAUCAGAAUGCCACGGUGAAUACGUUCCCGGGCCUUGUACACACCGCCCGUCACACCAUGGGAGUGGGCUGCACCAGAAGUAGAUAGCUUAACCUUCGGGAGGGCGUUUACCACGGUGUGGUUCAUGACUGGGGUGAAGUCGUAACAAGGUAGCCCUAGGGGAACCUGGGGCUGGAUCACCUCCUUA